rnacentral:rRNA from 1 species
AACGAACGCUGGCGGCAUGCCUAACACAUGCAAGUCGAACGAAGGCUUCGGCCUUAGUGGCGCACGGGUGCGUGACACGUGGGAAUCUGCCCUUUGCUUCGGAAUAACAGUUAGAAAUGACUGCUAAUACCGAAUAAUGUCGCAAGACCAAAGAUUUAUCGGCAAAGGAUGAGCCCGCGUAGGAUUAGCUAGUUGGUGGGGUAAAGGCUCACCAAGGCGACGAUCCUUAGCUGGUCUGAGAGGAUGAUCAGCCACACUGGGACUGAGACACGGCCCAGACUCCUACGGGAGGCAGCAGUGGGGAAUAUUGGACAAUGGGCGAAAGCCUGAUCCAGCAAUGCCGCGUGAGUGAUGAAGGCCUUAGGGUUGUAAAGCUCUUUUACCAGGGAUGAUAAUGACAGUACCUGGAGAAUAAGCUCCGGCUAACUCCGUGCCAGCCGCCGCCGUAAAAC